AUUGAACGCUGGCGGCAUGAUUUACACAUGCAAGUCGAACGGUAACAGGCCGCAAGGUGCUGACGAGUGGCGAACGGGUGAGUAAUGCAUCGGAACGUGCCCAGUCGUGGGGGAUAACUACUCGAAAGAGUAGCUAAUACCGCAUACGAUCUAUGGAUGAAAGCGGGGGACCGUAAGGCCUCGCGCGAUUGGAGCGGCCGAUGUCAGAUUAGGUAGUUGGUGGGGUAAAGGCUCACCAAGCCAACGAUCUGUAGCUGGUCUGAGAGGACGACCAGCCACACUGGGACUGAGACACGGCCCAGACUCCUACGGGAGGCAGCAGUGGGGAAUUUUGGACAAUGGGCGCAAGCCUGAUCCAGCAAUGCCGCGUGCAGGAAGAAGGCCUUCGGGUUGUAAACUGCUUUUGUACGGAACGAAACGGCUCUGGUUAAUACCCGGGGCUAAUGACGGUACCGUAAGAAUAAGCAUCGGCUAACUACGUG
rnacentral:rRNA from 1 species